GCCAGGUGUGGUAGCACACACUUGUAGUCCCAGCUACUUGGGAGGCUGAGGUGGGAGGAUUGCUUGAGCCCAGGAGUUCAAGGCUACAGUGAGCUAUCAUGGCACCACUGCACUCCAGCCUGGGCAACAGAGCGAGACCUAGUCUCUA
rfam:Chlorocebus sabaeus isolate 1994-021 chromosome 1, whole genome shotgun sequence.